AGAGCGAACGCUGGCGGCAGGCCUAACACAUGCAAGUCGAGCGCCCGUAGCAAUACGGGAGCGGCAGACGGGAUAGUAACACGUGGGAACGCGCCCUUCGGUUCGGAAUAACUCAGGGAAACUUGAGCUAAUACCGGAUACGCCCUUACGGGGAAAGAUUUAUUGCCGAAGGAACGGCCCGCGUCCGAUUAGCUAGUUGGUGAGGUAAUGGCUCACCAAGGCUACGAUCGGUAGCUGGUACUGAGAGGAUGACCAGCAUCACUGGGACUGAGACACGGCCCAGACUCCUACGGGAGGCAGCAGUGGGGAAUAUUGGACAAUGGGCGCAAGCCUGAUCCAGCCAUGCCGCGUGGAUGAUGAAGGCCUUAGGGUUGUAAAGUCCUUUUAACGGGGAAGAUAAUGACGGUACCGUAGAAUAAGCCCGGCUAACUUCGUGCCAGCAGCCGC
rnacentral:rRNA from 1 species